CUGUUGAUUCUACCUAAUAAAUACGAAGGGCUGUAGAAGCUCAGGGCCCUUAUUCCCUAGAAGCAAGGAGCCCCCUGACCCCUUCCUUAAAACAGAUCCUUUUGUCUUUGUCUUCAUUUCUGCGUUUAUCCUCCUUCGUUCAGUCUCAAACCAACAGCCACAAGUGGUGCCCGAUCAGGGACAUGAAGGAAGAAGGUCUGCUGGAGCAGAGAAACUGAAACUGACCAGACGAACGAGAAACCCCGGGACAAAUCUGCUGGCAGAGGAUAUAAGGGCAAACAAAGAAGAUAACCAGUCUCCAAAGUCAAGGAUGCCCUGAGAACACCAGUAAAAGGAACUCAGGAUAAUCUCAGCUCUAACUCGGCCAGAGUGGCUCCAUCGCUCAAAUCGUUCCCUCCUUCAGUGAUUGGCUGAGCCUGCCAGAGUCGAACAGCGGAAAGCAGCCCCAGGGCCUCUUGCUGCCCCCAGGGUGCGCAGGUCCCAAACCAGCCCUCAUCUCCUGGUUGGAACGAAACACCGAUGACUGGGAACCGGCUGCUCUAGAUCCGCAGGAGUACCCGAGAGGGCUAACAGUCCGGAGAAAAAGCAGAACCAGAAAGAAGAAUGGGGAGAAGGAAGUAUUUCCGCCUAAGGAGGCACCCCGAAAGGGGAAGCGAGGCCGGAGGCCCAGCAAACCCCGACUGAUUCCCAGGCAGACGUCUGGGGGCCCCAUCUGCCCUGACUGCGGCUGUACCUUCCCUGAUCAUCAGGCCCUGGAGAGCCACAAGUGCGCCCAAAAUCUAAAAAAGCCUUACCCUUGCCCAGACUGUGGGCGCCGCUUUUCCUAUCCAUCCCUGCUGGUCAGUCACCGGCGGGCACACUCCGGCGAGUGCCCCUAUGUUUGUGACCAGUGUGGCAAACGUUUCUCCCAGCGUAAGAACCUCUCCCAGCACCAGGUUAUCCAUACAGGUGAGAAGCCCUACCACUGCCCUGACUGUGGUCGCUGCUUCCGGAGGAGCCGGUCCUUGGCCAAUCACCGGACCACACACACAGGCGAAAAACCCCACCAGUGCCCUAGCUGCGGACGUCGCUUCGCCUACCCCUCCCUGCUAGCCAUCCACCAGCGUACACACACGGGAGAGAAGCCCUACACCUGCCUCGAGUGCAACCGCCGCUUCCGCCAGCGCACGGCCCUCGUCAUCCACCAGCGCAUCCACACGGGCGAGAAGCCCUACCCGUGCCCGGACUGCGAGCGGCGCUUCUCCUCCUCCUCUCGCCUGGUCAGUCACCGGCGUGUGCACUCCGGGGAGCGUCCCUAUGCCUGCGAGCACUGUGAGGCCCGCUUCUCCCAGCGCAGCACGCUGCUCCAGCACCAGCUCUUGCACACCGGAGAGAAGCCCUACCCCUGCCCAGACUGUGGGCGUGCCUUCCGG
rnacentral:sRNA from 1 species